rnacentral:ncRNA from 2 species
GAAGCACUGAGGGGAGCCGAAGCUCCCCUCAAAGCGUUGUUGCCUGCUCUUUUCUUAUUAUUGAGACCGGCCUUUUAUUGUUUUUGUAGGCUAGCCUUGAUGUCGCGUGCGACCCCCAUCCGGGGUCAAGAGCAAACGUAUUUUUUUGAGCGCUGACCUGCUUUCAUCCUGUGGAUCCGAGCCUGACUGCCGCUACCUUCAGGUAGUU